AUGAAAGUUGAUGCUCAUGCUUUGUAUAAAACUGAAUAUUACCCUAUUUUCGCAGUAUUGUUCGCGUUUGUCGCAAUAUCAAACGUCAUUUCAACUUCGAUUGCUGCCACCAUCUUAUUUUAUGUUUCGUGCAUUUAUAAAAUCCCCUCCUCUUUUUGCACUGACUGCAAUAAUGUUGGAGCGUCUUUGCGCAACAUAUUAUGUGAAGGAUUAUGAGAAAAAUCAGCGGCCAAUCAUUCCAUUUUUGAUAAUAAUUUUUCUAAUAAUACUAUCCUUUAUAGCAUCAACUGUCUUUACUUCUGUUGGUAUGGUGUUAUAUUUUGGUGUCUGUCAUUUCUCAUUUAUUUUUGUAUGCUACAUUGUCUCAGUAAUAACGUAUCGAACAAAUCGAAGGUAUUACUAUAAUAAUCGUGUAGACCAACAUUCAUAUUCAUUGGGAGAACGAUAUCAAAUUUCUGAAAAUCUUCGGCUUUACAUGUUUUUCUCGCACUACCUUUUCGUAAUGGCUGUUUUCCCCAUCAUUUGUACCUUAACCAUUGUCCUCGACUCUUUCAAUUCAAAUUUUUUGUUACGAGAAAUUUAUCAAAUUAUUUUUGAUUUAAGUUUCACAUUAUUAUGCUUCCUUGCUCCUUACCUGACAUACAAAAUGAGUGAAGCAUGGCAAAAUGAGCUUCAUAGAAUAUAUGUCAAGAUAGGGUUGAGAAAACCGAACAAAAUUCAAAGUGUUCGAUAUAGUUCGAGGAAAUUGAAAGGGACAUUUGGAGAGGAUAUUAAUGUGGAAAUGAAUUAGCA
rnacentral:misc_RNA from 1 species